rnacentral:misc_RNA from 1 species
CGCACCUUGCGCUCCUUGGUAUUCCGAGGAGCAUGCCUGUUUGAGUGUCUUGAAAUCAUCAAGCCCCGGAUUCGCGUCCGGAGGCUUGGACUUGGGGGUCUUUUGCUGCUUUCACGGCGGCUCCCCUUAAAUGAAUCGGUUGCGGCCCGUCCGGCUUCAGUCCUAGGCGUUGUAUUUGCCUCGCCCUGUGUCUUGCUGGCAGCGCCCUUCCCCGACCGCCUUUUGAGCGGCGGUCAACACUCUAUUUGAAAUCUGACCUCAAAUCAGGUAGGACUACCCGCUGAACUUAA